rnacentral:rRNA from 1 species
UACGAAGGGUGCAAACGUUGCUCGGAAUUAUUGGGCGUAAAGCGCACGUAGGCGGCAUUGCAAGUCGGAUGUGAAAUCCCUCGGCUUAACCAAGGAAGUGCAUCCGAAACUGCAGUGCUUGAGUACUUAAGAGGAUCGCGGAAUUCCCGGUGUAGAGGUGAAAUUCGUAGAUAUCGGGAGGAACACCAGUGGCGAAGGCGGCGAUCUGGGAAGAUACUGACGCUGAGGCGCGAAAGCUAGGGGAGCAAACGGG